GUUGGUAGCCAUGGAGGAGAGGGUACACCCAAUCCCAUUCCGAACUUGGAAGUUAAGCUCUCCAUCGCCGAUGAUACUGCAUAACGUCAUGUGGGAAAGUAGGCCGCUGCCAACA
rfam:Desulfovibrio desulfuricans subsp. desulfuricans str. ATCC 27774, complete genome.